ACAGAAGAGGUUCUUAGGGUUAACCCUCUAUAAAAAACUAAGGACAG
rnacentral:ncRNA from 1 species